GACAGAGGGUGCAAACGUUGUUCGGAAUUACUGGGCGUAAAGCGCGUGUAGGCGGCAAGGCAAGUCGGAUGUGAAAGCCCACGGCUCAACCGUGGAAGUGCACCCGAAACUGCCUAGCUAGAGUCUCGGAGAGGAAGGUGGAAUGCUUGGUGUAGAGGUGAAAUUCGUAGAUAUCAAGCGGAACACCGGUGGCGAAGGCGGCGACCUGGGUCGAGACUGACGCUGAGGCGCGAAAGCGUGGGGAGCAAACAGG
rnacentral:rRNA from 1 species